AGUCAUGGGAAUCAAUGAGGCAGAAAUCAGGAUUGUAGCUGAUCCCUUGGUUGCUGCCCCAUGUCUUAUGGCACCGUCUUGUGUGGCUCUGUAAAAGAUUAAUACCAGAGAGAGGGCAGCGGGUUUGUGUGUGCAUGUAUGUUUGUGAAUUAAGAAUAGCAGAUAACAUCAGAAUUUAGGAAAGUUGAAGUUAUUGAGUACUGGCUAUAUUCAACAGAGGUUUUGGGAAGUUUCAAAAAAUAAAUAUAAGCAAAUUCUGUAGGGAUCACUAGUGUGGAGGGCAAGAAUUGUAAUUCUCUUGCAUUAUUUCCCCCCAAAACAGCAUGCUCACAGUUUGGUCCAUAAAGCAGCUGACAAGUAGGUUUUUAAGGGAGCAUUAUAUCACUGCAAUGGUUGAGGCAUGGAUGAAAUAGUGGCUCAGGCAACAGGGAAUAUAUAUGGAUUUUACUAAAUGUUGAUAAAUUCAUGAUAGAUUUUAAGGGAGCAUUUCUGGGUUUUAUAGGAGCUAUCCAAAGUACGGAACCACCUACCCUGUUUCCCCGAAAAUAAGACUUCCCCUGAAAAUAAGACACUGUCUUAUAUUUAUUUUUCCUCAAGGGAAGAGAAGGCAGGAAGUGAGAGGAAAGGAAGCCCGGACUCGCCUCCACCGCCGCUGUGGAAAGUUCUUGCAUUUCACUUUCUAUGUCUCCUUCUAUGCCUCAGCUUGUAUCACUAUGUCUUAUUUUCAGGGUUUGGCUUAUAUUGUGCAAAUGCUUAGAAAUCCUGCUACGGUUUAUUGUAUGGGUAUGUCUUAUUUUCGGGGAAACACGGAACAUAUUGAGAAACUUCUAUUGUUCUCAGCUUCACAUGUUGUGCCAUUUCUAAAUACAGUAUAGUCUCACUUAUCCAACAUAAACGGGCCGACAGAAUGUUGGAUAAGCAAAUAUGUUGGAUAAUAAGGCGAGAUUAAGGAAAAGCCUAAUAAACAUCAAAUUAGGUUAUGGUUUUACAAAUUUAGCACCAAAAUAUCAUGUUUAACAACAAAUUUGACAGAAAAAGUAGUUCAAUAUGCAGUAAUGCUACGUAGUAAUUACUGUAUUUACGAAUUUAGUACCAAAACAUCACAAUGUAUUUAAAACAUUGGCUACUAAAAGGCAGACUGCGUUGGAUAAUCCAGAACAUUGGAUAAUAAUAAUAAUCUUUAUUCGUAUACCCCGCCUCCAUCUCCCCGAAGGGACUCGGGGUGGCUUACAUGGGGCAAAAGCCCAAACAAAUACCGUAAGGAACAUAAGACACAUCAAACAGCAAAAACCGCACACAAAAGGAAUAAACAUUAACAUAGAAAUAGCAAGAACAUUGGUAAAAACAUAUUAAAAUACAGCGAUAAAAUCAUAAAAACAACUGGGCGAAAAUGCGCUAAGUGUGUUUUGUAGACAUGAGGUAGUUAAUAAAGUGCUACAAAGUCGUAGAGGUUUUGGAGUGGGAUGGAUCCUGUGAUUAUACCAGAAAAUUGGCAAAGCAAGGUGCAAUCAAUCAGAACGAGGAUAAGCGAAUGUUGGAUAAGUGAGACUCUACUGUAUAUGAUUAUAGACUUCUGUACUGAAUCUAGUUUAUUACUCAAACUAAACCAGAAGGUGCAGCAGUUUGCAAUUGCCUGAACCUAUGGGGAAGGGCAAGAUUGCACCCCCUUCUCUCCGCUCCCCUUUGCCAAUUGACAGAGCCGGCCCUAGGUAUUUUUCAAGUGUAGGCGAACAGAAUUUUGGCGCCCCCCCAAACCAAUCACUGAAAAAUAAAAGUGUUGGAUAAGCGAAAAUGUUGGAUAAUAAGGAAGUAUAAAGGAAAAGCCUAUAAAACAUCAAAUUACAUUAUGAUUUUAAAAAUUAAGCACCAAAACAUCAUGUUUUACAACAAAUCAAUAGAAAAAGCAGUUCAAUACAUGGUAAUGUUAUGUAGGAAUUACUAUAUUUGCAAAUUUAGCACUAAACAUUGAACAGGGAUAUAGGGCAGUGUGGACUUAGAUAACCCAGAUAGCCCUCAGUAUUAAAAAAAAAACCCCUCUAAAAUCAGGACAAUAAAUAAAGAACAACACUCUGAAAACAGAAGAAAUCCAGACAGUAAACAAUCAGGGACAGCUAACUCCUCCCAAAAAAAGAUUCUCCCAGGCAAGAAGAAGCCAGGCCU
ensembl:lncRNA